GAUGAACGCUGGCAGCGUGCUUAACACAUGCAAGUCGAACGGUGAAGCUCCAGCUUGCUGGAGUGGAUCAGUGGCGAACGGGUGAGUAACACGUGAGCAACCUGCCCCUGACUCUGGGAUAACAGCCGGAAACGGCUGCUAAUACCGGAUAUGCACCAUGAACGCAUGUUCUGUGGUGGGAAAGAUUUUUCGGUUGGGGAUGGGCUCGCGGCCUAUCAGCUUGUUGGUGAGGUAAUGGCUCACCAAGGCGUCGACGGGUAGCCGGCCUGAGAGGGUGACCGGCCACACUGGGACUGAGACACGGCCCAGACUCCUACGGGAGGCAGCAGUGGGGAAUAUUGCACAAUGGGCGAAAGCCUGAUGCAGCAACGCCGCGUGAGGGAUGACGGCCUUCGGGUUGUAAACCUCUUUUAGCAGGGAAGAAGCGAGAGUGACGGUACCUGCAGAAAAAGCGCCGGCUAACUACGUG
rnacentral:rRNA from 1 species